AGAUUGAACGCUGGCGGCAGGCCUAACACAUGCAAGUCGAGCGGCAGCACGGGUACUUGUAUCUGGUGGCGAGCGGCGGACGGGUGAGUAAUGCCUAGGAAUCUGCCUGGUAGUGGGGGAUAACGCUCGGAAACGGACGCUAAUACCGCAUACGUCCUACGGGAGAAAGCAGGGGACCUUCGGGCCUUGCGCUAUCAGAUGAGCCUAGGUCGGAUUAGCUAGUUGGUGGGGUAAUGGCUCACCAAGGCGACGAUCCGUAACUGGUCUGAGAGGAUGAUCAGUCACACUGGAACUGAGACACGGUCCAGACUCCUACGGGAGGCAGCAGUGGGGAAUAUUGGACAAUGGGCGAAAGCCUGAUCCAGCCAUGCCGCGUGUGUGAAGAAGGUCUUCGGAUUGUAAAGCACUUUAAGUUGGAGGAAGGCAGUUACCUAAUACGUAUCUGUUUUGACGUUACCGACAGAAUAAGCACCGGCUAACUCUGUG
rnacentral:rRNA from 1 species